UAGGAGUUCUUUAUUGUGGAUAUUAAAUCUAUAUCCAAUAUAUGAUCUGCAAACAUUUUGUGCUAUUCUGUAAAUUGCCAUUUCGCAUUCUUGAUAAUGUUCUUUGAUGAACAAAAUUUUUAGUUUUUAUGUGUUCCAGUUUAUUUCUUUCCUUGCUCAUACUUCUGGUGUCAGAUCUAAGAAUUCAUUGCCAAAUCUGAGAUUAUGAAUAUUAAUCCCUAUAGUUUUUUUCUAGGAAUUUUACAUUUUAGCUCUUAAAUUUAGUUCAGUGGCCCAUUUUGAAUCAAUUUUUAUAUGUGGAGUGAGGUAGAGGUCUCACUUCAUUCUUUUACAUGUGGUUAUCCAGCUGUCCCGGCACCAUUUAUUAAAGAGACUAUUCUUUCCCUAUUGAAUGGUCUUGGCACCCUUGUCAAAAAUCAAUUUGCCAUAGAUAUUUGAGUUUAUUUCUACAUCCUCAAUUCUAUUCCUUUUGUCUACAUUGCUAUUCUUAUGCCAGUCCUGCACUCUUGUCAGUAGCAGAGUUUUGAAAUUAGGAUGUCUGAAUCCUCCUACUUUUUCUUUUUCAAUAUUGUUUAGGCUUAUUUGGGACCCUUUUCAGUUCCCAGUGAAUGUGAGGAUUGGCUUUUUCCAUUCUGCCAGGAAGGCCAUUAGAAUUUUGGUAAGGAUUGUAUUGAGUCUGUAGAUCACUUAAGAUAGCCAUAUUAGCAAUGUUAAGUGUUCCAAUCCAUAAACAUGGGAUGUCCAUUAUUUAGAUCUUUAAAAUCUUUCUGCAAUAUUUUGUAGUUUCCAGUGUACAAGUCUUUCACCUCCUUGGUUAAAUUUAUUCCUUGUAUCUUAUUCUUUCUGGUGCUACUGUAAAUGAAACUUUUCUUAAUUUAGUUUUUCAAUUGUUUAUCGGUGUAUAGAAACACAACUGUAAUUUGUGUUGACCCUGAAAGCGUGUUGAAGUCAUUACCUCUAGUAUGUUUAUUUUUAUCACCAAAUUGCGCUGGCCACAGCUUCUAGGACAAUGUUGAAUAGCUGUGGUUAAAGCAGGCAUCCUUGUCCUGUUCUUGUUCUUAGGGGGAGAGCUUUCAGUCCUUCACCCUUGAGUAUGAUGGCAGUUGGGAUAAACAUUCUUUAUCAUUUAAGGAAUUUUCCUUAUAUUACUAGUUGCUAAGUGUUUUAUCAUGAAAAGAUGUUGAAUUUUGUUAAAUACUUUGUAACUACUGAGGUGAUCAUACAGUUUCUUUUCCCCUUUGUUCUGUUAAUGGGUGUUACAUUGAAUGAUUUUCUUAUGUUGAAUAACCCUUGCAUUUCUGGAUAAAUCUCAUUUAAUCAUGGUGUGUAAUGCUUUUAAUGUGCUGUUGGGUUUAGUUUAUUGGUAUUUUGUGGAAAAUUUUUGCAUCUAUCUUCACAAGGGAUACCGUUCUGGAGUUUUCUUUUACUGUCUGUCUCUGACUUUGGUAUUAGGGUAACGCUGCUUCCAUAGAAUUUGUUAAGAAGUGUUCUCUUUUAUAUUUUGGAAAAGAUUAAAUAGGAUUAAUAUAACUUUAUCUUGUUGGGAAUGGACUCUUUUAACUAUAAAAUGUCUUUGUCUCUUGUAACAACUUUUUAUUUAAAAUCUGUUCUCUUAUAUUAGUGUAGCCACCACAGCUCUCUUUUGGCUACUAUUUGCAUGGAUUUACAUAAAGUUUUGACAGCAAAAUUCAGAUUAUGAUAUCUAGGCAAGUGAUGGUGGUACAAAAAUAAAUUGUUAUGUUAUUGCUUAUUCAUUUAGUAAAGGCAGCUUUAAAAUGUCAGGGAAUGUCAUAUAUAUGUAUACAUAUGUAUUUUCAAGUGUGAGUACUGUUUACAAAUCAUUCCUUUGAAAUUAUGGAAUUCCUUUUAUUUUUUUUCUAGCUAAAACUUAAUGGUAUAAACUUUAUUGUAUUUGUCAUGUCCUAGUUGUGUUGAUAGUCUACAUGGUUAUCUAUAAUCUUAUUACAUUAGACUAUAUAUAUAAUGUAAAUAUUAGUCAUAUUAAUUACCACUAGGUUAUCAUAUAUGGGAAUGUGUGUGUGUGGGGGGGUCUUCCCUUUAAUGUAAACUUAAUGUAAGUAUCAAGUCAGUUUUGUACCUAUCAUGCCCAAUAGACUUUAUUUUGACUUUUAACCUCUGGAAAUAUAAAUCACAUAUGUACUCUUUUUUUGUUGAAAAAAGUUUCUACUUAUAAAGUUCUUAGAAUAUAUGGGCUACAAAUAUGCUACACAUUUCUCUGGAUGUACUAGUCUAUAAAGAUGAGCACCUUAUGGCGAAACCAGUCUGUAGAAGUGAACUGAGGAUGCUAAUUCAGUGUCAAUUUUCUAAUAUCACUUUCUCUUCAAAUCAUUGAGAGAAAAGUUUAGGCUGAGGCUGUUGAUGAUUUAGAAAUAUAUGGAUUGCAUUAUUUUUUCCUUUUGGGAAAAAUAUGUUAAGGCCUAUAGUACUGUACUGAUAAGAAUAUUUACAUUUUAAAGGCAACCACCAUAAUUUUUUACAAAAAUGGUUUCUUAUGGAAAGAACUCAUGUGUACUUACUGACAAUUGUAAGGAAGUAAAAGUUGCACAAUGAUCUUUGAAUGUUCUUAUCUGUCCUUUUUUCCCUCCAGUAGUUAUUGCUCAUUGGUUUGAUUCUCCAUGUUUCUUCCAAUUCUCUAAUAAUCCUUUAGGAUUGGUGUCUAAUCUUAGCAAAUGAAAACAUUCAAGGAGUCCGUAUGGAUUAUGAUGAGGAAAAGAGAAAUUUUAUCCAGGAGAGAUGAGCAAUUAGCAAGUAUUACUGGAACUUUGUGCUCAGUAACAUGGGAUUCACAGUAAGACUGAGGAUAUAAAAAGUCACAUAAAAAUACAGACAUUGUUGUUAAGUAAUUAGCACAUAUGAGCUAUCUGAAAUGUAUAUCAUGAGUCCCAUACAAGUAAAGGUUUGCUUUCCUAAAAAGGAAAUUGAUUGGAUGAUACUAUAAAUAAUGUAGUGUUUAUGACACUAGGUGCUAGAGUGAGACUGGCCAUAGUCAAAACCUGGCUCUACUGCGCCAGUAAUGUAACCUUAGCCAAGCUACUUAAUCUCUCUAAGCCUUGGUGCUUUUACCAUAAAAUGAGGAUCAUGAUAGUAUCUAUUCUUCAAUUGUAAGAUAGAGUUUAGAACAAUAGUAAGCUUUUAAUAAAAGCUUAGGUGUGUUUUCUUAUAGCUAACAACUAUUGAAUAAGGGACCUAUUCAUAUGAUAGGAUGAAAUAUUUGCUUUUAUAAAUGUGUUGACCUACUCAGAGAAAGUUUCAUAAAGUAGCUAUGUGAAAAUUCCUAUAUUACAUUUAUCUGGUAAUAUAGAGUGUGUACUUUUAUAAUGCAUCCAUUUCUAAAAAAAUGUAAUUGAGUUUCAUAUUACAAAGAUAUUUCUGGAAAGGAAAAAAUAUGAAUGAAGAAUAAUCAUCAUAAUCUAUAAGAUCCCAUUUAUUGAAUACAUGGCUUCUUUCAAAUACUAUUUUUCUCAUUGGGUUUCGAUUGCGGUAAUAAGGGAACAUUUAUUAAGAAGCCAUUGCUGCCUCACGUAUGGCCUCACUCUGAUGUGUCAUUUAUAAAAAGAGGUGCCCAAUCUUUAACUCUUUUUUUCCUCCCUCAAAGCGAGUCCAUAGCAAGUGGAAGUUGAAACAGGCUUACUGAUGAUUUUCUUUACCUCUUCUAUGUACUGUUCCAGAAAGGGUAUAAGACUUCUGUUAUUGAGUUGGCCUGAUUUUAAUACCAAUCAAUUCAAUAAAGAAAAAAAGCUCAAUCAAAUCACGUGUUAUGUUGAUAAAACAGCAAAUUUGAUUUUUUAAAACAAUUUCUUCAUGCAUUUUUUUGUAGGAGGGCAUACUAUUUGGAAAUACAUUGUGGCUAAUAUUUGUGCAGGUUUUAAAAGGAACUGAAUUCUGCCUCAAAAUUGUUUGGUCCAACCCAGUAACACUUACUAGAUACUAUUACUUAGGUACUGUUCUGGAUGUGGUCUUUAGAAGCGGAUCAGGGACCUCCAAGGAUGUAUUUCAAUUAAAUAAUGACACUUUUAUUAUGAAAUGAUAUCUCCUAGAUUUUCUACAUGGUAUUAUGGUGUUUCUUAAACUUUUCCUCAACAAAAUACUUUGUACAGAUAUACCUCAGAGAUAUUACAGGUUUGGUUCCAGACCACCGUAAUGAAAUGAAUAUCAAAAUAAAGCAAGUCAAAUUAAUCUUUUGGUAUCUCGGUGCACAUUAAAGUUAUGUUUACCCUGUCUUGUGAUCUCUUAAGUGAGCAAUAGCGUUACGUUUUUAAAAAAAGUAUAGAUCUUAAACAAUAUUGCUAAAAACUGUUGACCAUUAUUUGAACCUUCAGCAAGUCAUCUCUUUGCUGGCAGAGCCUCCGUGUUGGUGGCUGCUGACUGAUUAGGGUGGUGGUUGCUGAAGGGUGGGGUGGCCGUGGCAAUUUCUUAAAAUAUGAAGUGUGUCCCAUCUAUUUACUCCCUUUCACGAAUGAUUUCUCCCGUCACAUGCAAUGCUGUUUGAAAGCAUUUUACCCGCAGUAGACCUCCUGUUGAAAUUGAAGUCAGUUCUCUCAAACCCUGCCACUGCCUUAACAACAAAGUUUAUGCAAUAUUCUAAAUCCUUUGUUAUCAUUUCAACAAUCUUCAAAACAUCUUCACCAGGAGUAAAUUCUACCUAAAAAAAACCCAACUUCCUUUGCUCAUUCAUAAGAAGCAACUUCUCAUCCGUUCAAGUUGGAUCCUGAGAUGCAGCAACUCAGUCACACCUCCAGGCUCCACUUCGAGGUCCAGUUCUCAUGCUGUUUCUACCACGUCUGCGGUGACUUCCUCCACUGAAGGCUUGAACCCCUUAAAGCCAUCCAUGAGGGUUGGAAUUAUUUUCUUCCAAACUCCUGUUAAUGUUGACAUUUUGACCUGUUCCCAUGAAUCACAAAUGUUCUAACGGCAUUUAGAAUGGUGAAUCCUUUAUAGAAGGUUCUCGAUUGACUUUGCCCAGAUCCCAGGGGAGUCACUAUUUAUGGCAGCUAUAGCCUCAUGCAAUGUAUUUUUCAAAUAAUAAGACUUGAAAGGCACAAUGACUUCUUGAUCCCUAGGCUGCAGAAUGGAUGCUGUGUAGCAGGCAUGGAGACAUGCAUCUCACUGUCCACCUCCUUGGAGCUCUUGUGGGACAGGGGCAUUGUCAGUGAGCAGUUGUAUUUGGAAAGGAACUUUUUUUCUGAGCAAUAGUUCUCAACAGUGGGCUUAAAAUAAACCAUGGUAUGAACAGAUGUGUUGUCAUUUGGGCUUUGUUGUUCCAUUUACAGAGCAGAGGCAGAAGAGAUUUGGCAUAAUUCUUAAGGGCCAUGGGAUUUCGGAAUAGGAAAUUAGCAUUGGCUGCAGAUCCAUGUCACCAGCUGGAUUAGCUCCUAACAAGAGAAUGAGCUUGGCCUUUGAAGCUUUGAAGCCAGGUGACUCCUCUCUAGCUCUGUGAAUAAAGUACAAAAACAAUGAAUGGGAGGACUUGCCACAGGAUCAGCAAAGACCAAGAAGGGAAAGGAGAAAUGUUAAGCUACUCAUCUCUACUCUUGGAAAGAUCACUUAAGGCUUAACUCCUUCUGGCGUCACCCAGCGUGGCAGUGUGGGGAGAAGCGGCCGCUGACGUCAACCUUCACAGGCCCUCCCAGGCGAGAGUUUCCCUUAAGAUUUCCUCUGGACAUGGAACACUUGUGCUUAGAAAAGUGUUUGCCAAUGGGUUAAAGAAGAUCACCUCUGUCACCCAGACGUGGCUGUCUGCCACUGAAGCAGCCUAUGAAGACAGUGCCCACCGAGGAGUCUCAGGCGGGGCCCGUAUGGAGACAGCAGACCUGCCAAGGAGCUGUGUGAAGGCACUGAGCUGACGCCGCCUCGGCCACGUGGGCAGAACUGCGGCCAAAAGGCGGUCGUGUUUCCUAUGGAACAAUGACUUUGUGUAGGCAUGCUCUCUAGUGCCCAGAAGCUGCGCUCUCCGGGGCUGCUGUCCCCCUGCAUCUCCGGUGGCGCUCGCAGGGGGACACUUGUGCGUACCUGUUCUCCGCAAGCAUCUGGAUUCUCAGUCUCUUGGGAGCUUGAGAAGAGGUCUUUGAUCCCUAGUGGUUUAGGGAAAGUGUUCUCGACAUGGCUGGACCUCAGAGCUGUUGAUGGGACCGAAGCAUGAAAACUGGGAACUCCAAGGCUCUGGGAGCUCGGCUCACACAUAUUAAAGUGACCCCAGACCUUGAAAAUCGUCCCAUCAGAGCAAGUAAUGAGAACCAACACGGAAUCGACGAGAUCAAGCCCGGGGGACUCGCCCCAGGCUACAGAUGGGAACUCGCAAGCCCAAGUCGGCGCUCGGUAGCCCCUCCUUAUGUAUCUGCAGGAGAACAGAGACCGAGUGAAGACCUGUGCUUACGCCUGGAGAACAGAAUGAAAUAGCAAAGGGGCAAAGACCCCACUGGAAGAGUGCAGAGACAAACGUAGCACAUGGCUGGGUAUUAGAAACCCCGGGGUGUGAAGAGAAUGUGCCCUCUGUCCCUGCCGGGAGAGCAGCUCCCAGGAAGCUCCCACCAGUCGUGGCCAGCUGCCGGCGUGCCACCCUCUCCCCCCACAGAAAUUUCCUCACACUCAGAGCCGGUGAUUCCCAAGGUCCUUGGAAGAAUGCCCUCCACCUGGACUUGUGCAACCGACAGCCAUCAGAAAGAAAUCUUGACGAUGGAUAGUUAAGGACACUAAUGACACAAAACACGGCUUGCAAAGGGAGCUCAGCCCUAUUUUGAAACCUGCUGAGAAAAAUAAGGCCUUUGCCUCCAUGGCGCACAGUGACAUCCAGUUUAUGACCUUAUUCCAACCAGGACCAUCAAGUCAGGGCCAGCCUGAGACGCCCGCGUGUUUUCCACACCAUGUUUUGCUUGAGUAGGUGCUCCCGAAGCUUUGUGUUCUCCAAGGGGAAGGAACAGAAGCCACCUGCCUGGGGCCCGUGCAGGGCAAGGCUCAGAGCCGCCCCAGAGCCGUGAUCCAUGGAACUUAAUUUUGCCACCGUGUGUAAACAAAGAAUGCCCCAGGUAUUUUAAUUUCAUUUAGUUUGGAAGCCACUCAAGGCACAGUUCAGAAUGAAGGAAUUGGAUAUUACGUUGGGUGUUGGUGUUGAGCCAUGAAAAAUACACAGGUCCUUUAAAUAGUAUCAAAAACACAGAAAUGGCCCAGAGAAGAAAAUGGCAAAGCAAAUGUUCUAAAAAAUUCUUCUGUAAUCAAUUGAGUCUUUUUAGAGUUCAGACAAUAUAAUAGAUUCAGAACUUUGUCAUAAAAAUAAAACUGCCAAAAUAAUAAUAAAAUGUAGAGUACUUUGUUUUUAUGAAUUUAUUUUUUUCUAAAGAAAACAGAGACUCUGCUAAUGUAUCCCUCAAUAAUCUUCCCACUGUGUAAAGCAUUAAAAUAAUAUAUGCUAUUUAAAGAUUACGAGGAAUCCAUUAAAUUGGCAAGACCUCAGACUUCCUGUAUUGAGGAUUUUGCUUUGAUGGGAAGCAAAUGCUAUAAAGUUCCUGUUGGAAUGAGAUGUUUUUGGAUGUGAGCAGCCAUUUUCUUCUGACUGGAGAGAAAAUGCUGUAUAAAUAAGAGUAAAUGAUAAACUUUUAUCUGCUGCAUUCUUCACCCAGCACAAGGUACCAACACAACAACCUACAAGCAAGAAGAAGAAACUAUCCUCCCAACCACGGGGUCCCCCUUCUGGAAGAUUUAGAUCCACCCAGGAGGCGUCCCGUUCUCCAGCUCCGCUGGGUUUAUGGCUGCACUGGGGAGGCUGCUGUCGCCACGUGUCGGCACAGGUCACUGACUCGAUCAGAGGCACGUGCUGUCACACACCACUGCUCGUCCGUGCACAGCCUCCACCAGGUUCUGGGCCUGUGUGCACGUCCCUCCAGCAAAUGAAUGACAGCCUUUCCAUGGGUCUCAGCUUUGGUUGGGAGACCAUGCAGCCGAGCCAGCCCCCAUGGAGGCCCCCGCCACGUAAACCAGUCCUGGCUGUCCUCCUGGAGACGUGGGCUCAUGUGACAGCCGGCUGCAGACGCCAAACAGGUGACCAAGGCGAUCUGGGCCCAACUAGGACCCGUUAAGCUAUAGAUGACUGCAGCUGCCCCAGUGAACCCCAGGCAGGAGCAGCCGAAGAGCCGCCCAGUGGAGCCCAGGAACACAGCAGAAUUGUGAGCAGUGUAAGAGUAACUGUUUGAGGCCACCAACUCUUGGGAUGGCUUGUCAUGCUCUAAUGGCCAACUAGUCCAAAAGUGUAUUGAGCAUCUCUCUAGCUCUCAAAUAUAUCAAGUUCCAAAUCUGAGGGUUUAAAACGUCAUGAUUCCUUGUCUCUGCUUUCUUCACGAGCUCUGUCGUAGGUGUGAUUUAAUAAACUUGGCAAGUCUUGCAUUCAAAUUG